UUUAGUAACACAGGCGAAAAAAUCUUGACAACCAUGUCAGUUAUUUUUCUCAACGGUCGGACAAACACGCGUCGAAGAUUGUGCUUUCGGAAACAGAAGAGGAUCGAGAGGUUCGUGAAUUAAAACGAGUAGCAGUACGAGCGGCUUCAAAUUGCUAAAAAGCGGUCUCCGGAAAUUCGACUCUACUGGUGUGGUGAAAAUGGCGCUGCAUGACAAAAAAUGCAAUAAUUACCCAAAACGGAAACCCCAAUUAUGCUGCCGGCUGCCGAACACAGUGCAGCGCUUCCCGAGGCCUUCUAAACUGUCAUCCGAAGCCAAAACACCAGCAGCAAUCUGCUGUUUCUGGGGGAGCAGUUAGGCGAGUUUGUGAUAAGAAAAACUAUUGUCGAGACUACCGAAUUCGUAGCUACGCAUGUACGCUCCAACAACUGCACACAGUUUCCAUCGUAAUGAAUCGCUGAAAAACUUUAGGAAGUGACCCGAAUGGAUCUAAAUUUGAUUGUUAAAUUAUGGUUUCGAUUGUUAUAAGUUGAAGGAACUUUGAAUAAAAUUUC